AACGAACGCUGGCGGCGCGUCUUAAGCAUGCAAGUCGAACGGCAAGAGAGGAGCUUGCUUCUCUCCUAGAGUGGCGGACUGGUGAGGAACACGUGGGUAAUCUACCCUUAAGAUGGGGAUAGCUGCUAGAAAUAGCAGGUAAUACCGAAUACACUCGGCAUACCACAAGAGGUGUUGAGGAAAGGAAGCUACGGCUUCGCUUGAGGAUGAGCUUGCGUCCCAUUAGCUAGUUGGUGAGGUAAAGGCCCACCAAGGCGACGAUGGGUAUCCGGCCUGAGAGGGUGAACGGACACAUUGGGACUGAGAUACGGCCCAAACUCCUACGGGAGGCAGCAGCUAAGAAUAUUCCGCAAUGGACGGAAGUCUGACGGAGCGACGCCGCGUGGAUGAAGAAGGCUGAAAAGUUGUAAAAUCCUUUUGUUGAUGAAGAAUAAGGGUGAGAGGGAAUGCUCAUCUGAUGACGGUAAUCGACGAAUAAGCCCCGGCUAAUUACGUG
rnacentral:rRNA from 1 species